AGUAAAUUAUGAAUCUAUCCCGAACCUGAUUUAAUGUGAAUUAAACUCCUAAUAUGGAUCUGACUUCUGAUAU